AGAUAGUCAUAUGAAGAUAAACCUAUAACUUUGGUACAAUGCCACAUUCGACCUACAGAUUUUCGAAGGUAACAUGUAUCAUGAACCCCACACUCUAUAGAAAGAAAGCCAUGUUGGGUCACAACCAUCAUAUGAAGACAAAGAAAAUCAUCUUUAUAGGACUGAUGCAUGACCAAAAUCCUGUAGUCUUCCUCCUCAAAUUGAGAACAGCACCC
rnacentral:lncRNA from 1 species